rnacentral:siRNA from 1 species
AAUUGUUAUUAAGUAACGU